AAAAAAAAGGGGGGUUCUCUGUUCUCUCUGGCCCAAGCCAGAAUCCGACAAGGAAGCCACCGUGGGAUCGCCGCCGGCCACCGUCGCCGGCCACAACACGCGGUGGCUGGAAUUCCCAAAAGGUAUAUUUUUUCUUCCUUUUUUAUUUUUUUAUAUUUAUUUAAUAUAUGUGUGUUGUUUUUAAUAAAAUAGAAUGAUAUGUGCCAAUAAAUUCGAAAAAAAAAGCAAAAAAAUAUAAAAUAAAAACGAUAAAUAGACCUUUAGAUCAGUCUUUGAUAUUCCUUGCUGCAAGUUUGAGUUUGUAUCACGAAGCCUUUUGAUGUUAUUCUUCUUUUUAUAUUUCGAAAAGAAAGAAAAUCAAGAACCAAAAAAAGGCCCCUUACACCCGAUCCCUUUGUGGUUUAUAUAGCCCCUUUUUACAAGUAUUUUUUUCUUUUUCUGCACACUGUCCUUUCUUCCUUUAAUGUUGCAGGCGAACGGUGGUGGGGGCAGGUGCCAUUUGCACUGGCGAUGUGAUUGGGGCGAUGGGAUUAGGUGAUUUAGGGUUUUAGAUUUUGAAACCUUAAAUUUGGGCUAGUUGGGUCAGAUUGGGGUUUGGGUCUGUUUGGCUUUUAGGGGUUAUUUGGGCCCGGGCAAAAUGGGCUUG
rnacentral:lncRNA from 1 species